rfam:Picea glauca, whole genome shotgun sequence.
UACCUCGUUGAUCCUACCAGUAGUCAUAUGCUUGUCUCAAAGAUUAAGCCAUGCAUGUCUAAGUAUGAACUAAUUCAAACUGUGAAACUGCGAAUGGCUCAUUAAAUCAGUUAUAGUUUCUUUGAUGGUACCUUAAUACUCAGAUAACCAUAGUAAUUCUAGAGCUAAUACAUGCACCAAGUAUCGACUCUUUGGAAGCGAUGCAUUUAUUAGAUAAAAGGUUAGCGCGAGCUUGCCCACUUCUCCGAUGAAUCAUGAUAACUUGAAGGAUCGCAUAGCCCUUUUGUUGGCGAUGCUUCAUUCAAAUUUCUGCCCUAUCAACUUUUGAUGGUAGGAUAGAGGCCUACCAUGGUGGUGAUGGGUGAUGGAGAAUUAGGGUUCGAUUUCAGAGAGGGAGCCUGAGAAACGGCUACCACAUCCAAGGAGGGCAGCAGGCGUGCAAGUUACCCAAUCCUGACAUGGGGAGGUGGUGAAAAUAAAUAACAAUGCUGGGCUCAUUGAGUCUAGUAAUUGAAAUGAGUACAAUCUAAAUCCCUUAACGAGGAUCCAUUGGAGAGAAAGUUUGGUGCCAGUAGCUGCGGUAAUUUCAACUCCAAUAGCAUAUAUUUAAGUUGUUGCAGUUAAAAAUCUCAUAGUUUUAUCUUGGGUCGUAAAGGUCAGUGUGCACUUGUCAUUCCGUCCCUUUUUCCGAUGGCAUGCUCCUGGCCUUAAUUGGCUGGGUCGCAGUUCCGACGUUGUUACUUUGAAAAAAUUAGAGUGCUCAAAGCAAUAUUAUUCUAUGAAUACAUUAGCAUGGAAUAACAUGAUAGGAGUUUGGUUCUAUUGUGUUGGCCUUCGGGACCAGAGUAAUGAUUAAUAGGGAUUGUCGGGGGUAUUUGUAUUUCAUUGUUAGAGGUAUAAUUCUUGGAUUUAUGAAAGAUGAACCAUUGCGAAAGAAUUUUCCAAGGAUGUUUUCAUUAAUCAAGAACGAAAGUUGGGGGCUCAAAGACAAUCAGAUACCGUCCUAGUCUCAACCAUAAACGAUGCCAACCAGGGAUCGAAGGAUGUUUCUCUAUGGACUCCACCAGCACCUUCUGAGAAAUAAGAGUGUUUGGGUUUCGGGGGGAGUAUGGUCGCAAGGCUUAAACUUAAAGGAAUUGACAGAAGGGCACCACCAGGAGUGGAGCCUGUGGCUUAAUUUGACUCAACACGGGAAAACUUACCAGGUCUGUACAUAGUAAGGAUUGACAGAUUGAGAGCUCUUUCUUGAUUCUAUGGGUGGUGGUGCAUGGUCUUUCUUAGUUGGUGGAGUGAUUUGUCUGGUUAAUUAUGAUAACAAAUGAGACCUUAUCCUGCUAACUAGUUGCGCGGAGGUUCCCCUUCACAGCUAGCUUCUUAGAGGGGCUAUGGUCGUUUAGGCCAUGGAAGUUUGAGGCAAUAAUAGGUAUCUGAUGCCCUUAGAUGUUUUGGGCCGCAUGCACACGACACUGAUGCAGUCAACGAGUUUUUCUCCCUGGUUCAAGAGGAUUGAGAAAUCUUCUCAAAUUGCAUCGUGAUGGGGAUAGACCAUUGCAAUUAUUGGUCUUCAACGAGGAAUUCCUAGUAAGCGUGUGUCAUCAGCUCGUGCUGACUACAUCCCUGCCUUUUGUACAGACCGCCCAUCGCUCCUGUUGGUUGAAUGAUCCAGUGAAGUGUUUGUAUCUCUUCAACGAGGGUAUUUUGUUGCCGAAAAUGUCGUGAGAAGUUCACUGAACCUUAUCAUUUAGAGGAAGGAGAAGUCGUAACAAGGUUACCAUAGGUGAACCUACGGUAAGAUCAUUG